rnacentral:lncRNA from 1 species
UUUCGUCUCAGCUCCAAACUUUGUCUCUGUAACUCCUUCCAUGGGUGUUUUGUUCCCAAUUCUAAGAAGGAUGUCUGCCAUUUCUUUAGAGUUUGUCUUUUAUCGUUCCUUCUCUACCAGGCAGGGUGCCAGGACUAAGCUGUGCGGGAUUUGGUAUGUGUGUCUGUGCACCACGUGUGAGUCUAGUGUCCUCAGAGGCCAGAGGAGGGUGUCAGAUCCCCUGCAACUGGAGUUACAGACAGUUGUGAGUACCCUUGUGGGUGCUGGGAAUUUAAUCCAGGUCCUUUCGGAUAGCAGCCAGUGCUCUUGGCCACUGAGCCAGCUCUCCAGCUCCUAACCAUUAUUGACUUAUAAGAUAUUAUUUUGAGGGAUAGAGAGAUGUCUCAGUGGCUAAGAGCAGUUGGUGCUCUGGCAGGGGACUCAGGUUCAGAUCCCAGUGCCCACAUGGUGACAGCCAUCUAGAACAACAGUUCUUAGGAAUUUAACACCCUCUUCUGGCAGCCACCAGCCCCAGGAACGUAUGUGAUGUACAUACAUGCAUAUGGCGAAACACUCAUACACAUAGAACAGAAUGAACACGUCUUUUUAAAAAGGUUUCGUGUUUUAAUUAUGUGUAUAUGUGGAUGUCUGCAACUAUGUGUAUACGUGGACAUCUGCAUGUGUGCUUGUACCUGGGUGUAGUACUGACAGGGGCCAGAAGAGGGUGCCAGAUCCCCUGGAGCUGGAGGUAUGGGCAGUGGUAAACUGUCCCACGUGGGUUCUGGGAACAGAAUUUGCAUCUCCAAAGUACUAAGUUCUCUUAACCACUGAGCUGUCUCUCUAGCCCUGGAACUGACUGCUAUUUGAUACCAUAGACAACACAGAGGCAGGAGCUGCCCUGGCCUUCCAGGUUCUGGACAGAUGAGAUUUAGGACAGUAACAGCCAGAGUAUUGUUAGAACUUCUGUGUAACCCAGAAAACCCAGUUCCUCUGAAGCUCAGGGCUGGGCAUAAAAAUUCACCUAAGGAGCCAGUGGAAGCUAGCCAAAAGAGACAACACUUGGCAGAAGAACCCAGAAGAGGUAGGUCUUCCUGGCAGAAGGAAGGGCAGGUGACAUGCUGCAGCCUGGUGGGUGGGAAGAACCCAGGCAGUCAUCCACAGUGUGAACUCAGGGCAGGAGGGAGUGGCAGAGAGGGCAGAAAGACCUGUGGGGCCUGGGUCAUGAACAGACUUGCUUGUUACCCGAACGCCAUCCUGAAAGCAGUGGGAACUGAACAAGAGUGGUCCAAGCCAGCCAACUCAGAACAUGUGUGCACUUUACAGGGCUCCUUCUGACAGCAGCUUGUAAACUGACCUGGCUUGGAGGUGAGAUUAGAGGCCAGGUGAGGCAGGUACAUCAACAUGCCUGCGGGUGGUUCUGAUCCCAAGCCAAACUGCUGCAAGACAGCUCAUGCCACACGGGCUAAUGCCAGCCAUGCGGAGCCUGCACCUUUUACCAUUUUCUUCCUUUCUGCAUCAGCAUCCAGGUUGAAGAGGAUAUCGCAUCCAGGACUUGGCCUCUCGUGGUACCUCUUAAAGCCAUUGGUUACCAGGUGAAACAGGCGACCUCCACGCAUGCUCCGUUAGCCAAGGCAAUUCCUUGGCUAAGCCUGGGUGAGGGGUGAAUAGAAACACCCCUCUUCUGGCUACUAAAUAGCCAGAGAUGGAGAGAGCAGGCCUGUGCCCUUCUUUGAAGCAAGAACACUGUCAGAAUCCCUGAAGUAUGAUCAUCUUCUCAAAAACAAACAAAAAAAAAGAAGUUAAUUUACUCUAGUAUUAGGAAUUCUCACUGGCUCCUACUGAUCACGGCGUCCUUUUAUAUAAAGCCCCCUUUAAACAAUCCAUCCAUAUGCCCUAGGAUUUAUGAAGUGGCUGCUCUGAAUUUUUGAGAACCCCUGUCCAUCUCUCUUCUGCACUCAGAAUCUUUUCUUGGGUCUGGCGUGGGUCAGCUCGGCUUGCCAUGCUCCCUCGAAGAUGAUGCAACUCUGUACUCACCUGGCCAAAAUCUCUCAACACUCAAUAAACGUGACACCCUCUCUGAUAAGAGGCUCCUUCCAAACCGUUAGCUGUUUCUUCACAGAAGGUGCUGGGACCUACUGUUUCCUUUGGGAACCACACAGGUAGAAAGCUGGAGAAACUGCCAUUUGUACCUGCAUCAGGUGGUACUGCACAUGUGUGAUCCCAGCAUCCCAGACACUAGGGCAGAAGAGCCGUGAACUCAAGGACAGCCUGGCCUACACAGGGAGACCCUGUGCCAAAGAAAAGGAGGCAAGGGAGGAGGAGGGGAAGAGGAGAAACCUCAACUGCAUCCCUUUUGCUCACAAAGAAGGCAGCGACUGGAAUCCAAUCUGGGUGGUUCCCCAGCAUCCUGUAUCAUGGAUCUUGUUGUUAUGAACAAAAAUAUACACAGAGCACGCUGUUCGGGACACAGGAAGUCAUCUUUAGUCUAGAUGGUGAUUUUAGGUUUGGAUAAUGAGUGUUCGGUUUCAGCAGUGUGUGUUUUUGUAAAUGGUCAAACGAGCUGAGUCUCUUGCAUUCCAAGAACACCGCCUAUGUUUCUUAAUUCCGUAGGAAUGUAGUGAAUUACAGUAUUUGGUUAUUCUUGCAGAGUUGAGUGUUUUCACCAAGCAAUUGUUUGUGAGAGCUGAGCCCAGAGGACUAUGGAAAGACAAGCAAGCUGCGUGUUCUCUUCUCCCUGGAAGAGAUGGGGAAAGUGAACCAAGGGGUAUUGGGAGCAGCCUAGACGAGGGGUCUCGGUCCUUCGCAUGCAUUAGUGGAGAGCAAUGACUCUGCGAGCAGAAUAGGAAGUUUGGGCGGGG